rnacentral:lncRNA from 1 species
CAUUGUGCUUAUGGAGGGGUCAGAGUUUGGAAAACCAGUCAUUAGCCCUUUUCAAGUGGCCAGAGUUAUCACUGGACCCAAGGAUAUCUGGUCUCCUAUUGCCCUGAAGUAAAGCACAGUGAGACUGCCACCACCAAACGGGCUAUGGGACACUUAACUACCAGAGUAGCCCUUUUCUGCACAAUUUUUCUAAAAGAUAAACAGGUUUCUUAAAAAGGCAGCCCGAGCACAGAUGUGCCUGAUGUCCCCAGCUUUGUUACAUCCGACUGAGAGGCUCUCAGGCCCGUGUCAGCUGGCUUCCUGUGUAGCUGGGCUGCUGUCGCCCCCGUUUGGCUCUAAUCAGCUCCGUUGUGGGCCUGAACGCUCAUGUGGAACAGAUCUACUGAAGAUUUGGGGAUAAUGAAACGGAAUUACAGCAAAGCACAAAGAACAAAGCCCUGGCAACGUCCGGUUGUACAAUCAGCCACGACAAACGACAGGAGGGGAUCUGAGCGCCCUCUACCCACAAGACACACGACUGGAGAAAAGAGUGCCCGACUGACAAGUCAACGCCCGUCUGUGACUGAUAAAGCUCGGCAGGGAUGUGAGUGACAGGACCUUCCCUGCAACACCACUCAGGCUGUAUGACAGUCUAGAAAGGAGGGGAGCCCUACGACCUCUGCCUUCUGCACAUAUAUGCACCCAGGCACAUCCAUGGAGCUAUUCUCCAUCUACGGAGUCUCCACGAAGAAUCCUCCUCCACCACGGACGACCUGCCCCAACAAAGUGCCAUCCUCAUCCCAAGCGCAUGUUUCUGCUUUUCCCAAACCAUAGCUUGUGAGAUAUUCUAAAGGCUGGUCUUGUUCCUUGCAGGGAACACCCAGGCACUCCAGUCUGUGACUAUAAAAUAAAGUUAAAC